AAACAUCGCCUCUUGAUUAAAUAUAAGAGGUCCAGCCUGCCCAGUGACAAAAUUUAACGGCCGCGGUACCCUGACCGUGCGAAGGUAGCAUAAUCACUUGUUCUUUAAAUAGGGACUAGUAUCAACGGCAUCACGAGGGUUUUACUGUCUCCUUUCUCCAAUCAGUGAAACUGAUCUUCCCGUGAAGAAGCGGGAAUAAACCUAUAAGACGAGAAGACCCCAUGGAGCUUUAAAUUUCACAGCAACUCAGUAACAUAUUUCCUUAUAACUCAAAGAGUUAUGCAUGCCAAUUUUAGGUUGGGGUGACCGCGGAGUAUAAAAUAACCUCCACAUCGAAAAGAACUAAAUCUUUAUUUAAGAGCCACAACUCUAAAAAUUAGUACACUAACGAACAAUGACCCGAUAAUCGAUCAACGGACCAAGUUACCCUGGGGAUAACAGCGCAAUCUACUUCAAGAGCCCAUAUCGACAAGUAGGCUUACGACCUCGAUGUUGGAUCAGGGUAUCCCAGUGGUGCAGCCGCUACUAAUGGUUCGUUUGUUCAACGAUUAAAACCCUACGUGAUCUGA
rnacentral:rRNA from 1 species